rnacentral:rRNA from 1 species
AAUGCCGCGUGUGUGAAGAAGGCCUUCGGGUUGUAAAGCACUUUUAUCAGGAGCGAAAUCUGCAUGCUCAAUACGUAUGCAGUCUGACGGUACCUGAGGAAUAAGCACCGGCUAACUUCGUGCCAGCAGCCGCGGUAAUACGAAGGGUGCAAGCGUUAAUCGGAAUUACUGGGCGUAAAGGGUGCGUAGGCGGUUGUUUAAGUCUGUCGUGAAAUCCCCGGGCUCAACCUGGGAAUGGCGAUGGAUACUGGGCAGCUAGAGUGUGUCAGAGGAUGGUGGAAUUCCCGGUGUAGCGGUGAAAUGCGUAGAGAUCGGGAGGAACAUCAGUGGCGAAGGCGGCCAUCUGGGACAACACUGACGCUGAAGCACGAAAGCGUGGGGAGCAAACAGGAUUAGAUACCCUGGUAGUCCACGCCCUAAACGAUGCGAACUGGAUGUUGGUCUCAACUCGGAGAUCAGUGUCGAAGCUAACGCGUUAAGUUCGCCGCCUGGGGAGUACGGUCGCAAGACUGAAACUCAAAUGAAUUGACGGA